rnacentral:tRNA from 1 species
GAGCCCAUAGCUCAGCCCGGUCAGAGCACUGCUCUUAUACAGCAGGGGUCCCAGGUUCGAAUCCUGGUGGGCUCA